CCUCACCCAGAAGAACCAGAUCAUUGUAAGAUCUAAUGUAUGGCUAAGUUUUUCUGCUUCAAUAAUUGAAUUGUUUCUUUUCACUUUCUCCCUUGGAUUGCUUUUUCCAACGUAAAGCAUCUCUAACUGGAUGUUGGCAGCUUGUGCAACUCCAUUUGCCAUCAGGGUGAAUUGGCGGAUCCAACUUAUAUCCUCUCCACCAUACAAGCAUAUGUACUUCCCUCCUUGUAUCCAAGCGGGGAUUUUUGGAUCAAUAGUAUCUGCCAAUAACUCAAUUCUCCAGGUUUCUUCUCUCCAGAGUGCUUCCUCCCUGAUGCUGGUGAAAGGGAAAGCUGUGAUUCCCCAAAUCCACAUCAUAUGGAUAGCAUUAGAAUUCACUACUUUCCCUUGAUGGUCCAAGACCACGAGCAUGGGCUUCCUGUUGAAAUGCCACACCUCCUUGAUGUAUCUGAUGACUGCUCGAUCAAGCAGUGAAGGGUGAAAUACCGAGUACCAAGGCAUCAUUGAUCGGAGACUCUCAAAUUGCUUUUGUUUCACUUCAUUCCAUGGGGUUGAUGGGUGCACGACAGGGAGCCAGACUAUCUCAAAUUGGCUCUCAGUCCUUUUUGGAUGCUGCCGAGCCUCAGUGUAAAUUUGUAGAAGCAUUUCAAGCUCUUCAUGGGGUAGUUCCAGGUCUGAGAUAUAUAGCAGCACAUUCUUCCUCCUUAACACAUCAAGGCUAGCCUGAACCAAAAAAUUGUUAGAGAACUUGAGUGUUUCGAUGACAAUAUUAUUAGCCAGCAUCGGGAGAACUAAUUAAAAGGAAUAAGUAGUAAACCCUUUUUAGUUUGGCACCAUCAACCCUAUUUUGGUCGGCACCAUUAAAGAGUGGUAGUUGAUCAUCGUUAGCAUAAAUCAAAGUCCUGAGAAUCUUUAUGUUAUCAAUGUGGACAGUUUCGAACUGGUGAAUGAGUGUUUGAUAUGCUUCAAUGUGCCUUUUCUCGUCUGCAUAUAUCAUAAAAAAGAUCAUUUUUGCUUGAUGCUGAAAAAUGUUUAUCCUAUUCCUACUAACAUAACGUAUAAUUCUUUGAACGGGUGCGACGCUCACCUAUAUGAUGAUAACAAACACUGAGUUGCGUCACGAGAUGUUCAUGAAUGCUUCUGACCUUGAGUGCCAAACUUGAUAGUUCCCAUGCUUCCGUUAUCGAUGUUAUGUACUCAUGGCUCAAGCCAGUGAGGUCAAUAAUUUGUGUAGCACAAGCCACAACACUCCUGAUGGCCCAGUAAACAGCAGUAGGGAUAUUAGUAGCAGCAGUCGACAUUUCUGACGCAUCAGAAGUGAUGAACUGAGAUGGAAUCUCGUUGAAUUCAACAAUGCAUUUUGCAACAUCCAAAGUAGCCUUGAUAAGGUUGUUGAUUUCCUCAAACUUUGGUUUCAAUGCGUCAGCACGUUCGAAUACUUCUGGCAAUUGCUUAAGCACUGCAACAGCUUUGGCCAGCGGGUUUGUAUGGUAAAGCUGGGCGACGAGCCAGAAUUCUCCAUAGUUUACCGCUAAUGCUGAUAAGGCUAGCACCACCUUUGCAUCCCAUGAGUAGCUUGAUAGCAACUUAAAUAUUGCCAAUGUUGUAGCAUGUGGAUCUCUACCACCAGAGCUUUUGCAGGAUACAUGUAGGAAAACCUCGCAGGAAAUUUUCUUGAUUGUGUAUGACAAAACAUGUAGCAUGUCAUCAAAGCCUUGGAGAGCCUUAUCAUCCAAUGCGGGAAAUUUUGCUUGCUGAGCUCCUUGUUGAUGAAAAAUGGUAGCCAGGCCAGUGGGUGCAGCUCGGUUGAAAAUGUCUUCAAGAAGAUGAAGAAGAGGUUUCAAAGAAAAUUCAUGGCCAUCAGGAUCAUGAGUGGACUGAAUUUGAUGUAUCUUUGCAUUGUCGUCUGAUGAACAAAACAUAAGGCGUUCAUUUUUAGGAUUUGAUAGCCUGGGAGAUGCAGCUGCCAUAGCUGAUGAGGCACAGAUGAAACUCUAAAGAAGAAAGAAGAACAAAGAGAGAAGAGCUUGUGUCUCCUUGUUGAUGAAAAAUG
rnacentral:misc_RNA from 1 species